rnacentral:rRNA from 1 species
AAUGACCGCUGGCGGCAGGGCUAACACAUGCAAGUCGAACGGAUCAUUCGGGAUUCGUGGCGGACCGGUGAGUGACGCGUGGGAUCAUACGACUUCGUACGGAAUAGCCUCGGGAAACUAGGAGUAAUACCGUAUGUGGCCGAGAGACGAAAGAUUUAUCGCCAAAGGAUUGGCCCGCGUUGGAUUAGGUAGUUGGUGGGGUAAUGGCCUACCAAGCCGACGAUCCAUAGCUGGUUUGAGAGGAUGCUCAGGCACACUUGGACUGAGACACGGCCGAGACUCCUACGGGAGGUAGCAGUGGGGAAUCUUAGACAAUGGGGGAAAUCCUGAUCUAGCCAUGCCGCGUGAUCGAUGAAGGCCUUAGGGUUGUAAAGAUCUUUCAGGUGGGAAGAUAAUGACUGUACCACCAGCAGAAGCCCCGGCUAACUCCGUGCCAGCAGCCGCCGUAAUAC